rnacentral:lncRNA from 1 species
AUUUGGAGAAUGUGAGUUAUGUCCAUACACAUUACAAAUUAUGAAAAUAGCAGUCAAGUUUAACAGUUACUAUGACCCAUCUCCCAUCUUGUGAAGAUGUGGAUUCUCGAACGUCACCUUUAAACUUGUGAAUAAGUGUCAAAACACCAGCAGAAUGACUUGAUCCAUGACUGAAAUAGGCCAUAUCUCCCCAUUGUGAUUUCCAAAAUUUCAAAUCACUUUCACCCGAAUGAGAUUCCUGAAGAAGGACAAAAUCUGCGUUACUGCGUUUACAAUAUAAAAAUAAAGCUUUCCUUUUUGUAAGAUCUCUCAAAUCCCUAGCAUUCAGACUAACGAUAUUGAGUGAGUUGAAAACGAACUCCUGCGUUAAAAAAGAAAGAACACAAACUAGAUAACAGAAGUAGUAAUGUGAACAAUAAAACAAACAGUGAACCUUCAGAGGAUUACUCUGACGGAAAACUACGCUCAGCUGAGGUAGCGGUGGUUAACAGUAUAACAAAUCUAUUUACUUCCUUUUUUUUCCAGUUGGCAAGUGUUCAUCAGUUGUAGUUCGAACGGUACAUUUACUUGUGUCGGUAAAUUAACUGGACUCUUGGCAGUACUCACAGUUCCAGUUUGGUUAAUGUCAACAGAGUUACCCAGUAAUCAUUCUUCCUUCGAUAAACGUGUGUGGGCCCUUGUACCCAGCCUUCUUUCCCUCUUGUCGUGCCUUCUGUAUAAGAGGCCACAGUUUCUCCCUGGCAGUCUGAUCCUGCGGUAUCAGAGCUGCUUUGAUGCGGAGCUACUUCUCGUCCAGAAACGUGUUCCCUUUGGCCAUUCUCCAGAUGAUGUCCCUGUAAUGGCGCAGAGUUAAGCGCAAUAUGAUAUUGCGAGGGGGUCCAUCAGAUCUUCGUUUCCCAAGUCGAUGUACCACAAUCACAUCUCUUAGCCUGUAUUUGAUGCACGAAGCCACCUUUCCCAGGAUAUGAAUGACCGCUUCCCUAAUAUCCUCUCCCUCUACCUCUUUUACACCUUGGAUUUUCAGAUUCCACCUGCGACAGUACCUUUGACGUUCAGCUACAUUCUCACACAGCUCAUUAUUUUGGGAUUGCAGUUUCUUCAACUCAUUCUCUAGGAACGUUAUCUUUUCCAAAUUAUCGAUCAGAUUUGAAGUUUCUUCGGUAGCCCGCUCUAUGGUGGACACUUUGGAGAGCGUGGCGUCUAUUUUAGUAGACAGGGACUGGAUUGCAGAGAAAAGUUCAGACAUGGAAAUGGCCUCUUACUUUUUUCACCGGUGGAUUUUUAAUUGGGGUCUGGGGUAAAGAGGUUGCAAGGAUUUCAUCCUGGUCAGUUUUGUUCUUUCUCUUGCUUGAGGUCGAGGCUUAUUGAGUAUCCAUGCUGAUCUGGUUCUCGUUGUGGCUAGCUAGCAUGUCUGCCGUCUUCUGUGAGACUUGGAUAUUCCGUCUACUAUUGUCUUUCUGUCGUGUUCUUCCCAUUCAACUUUACAAAAACGAACUCUAAACUUAUCCUAUGUUGCUAAAACAAGUUAUGGUUAGUUUAUUUCAAAAUUGAUAGCCAAUAUUAGACUGUUAACCACCUAACCCUCAAUGUUGCUUAGACGAGCGAGAAAACACUCCCUCUCACAGCGACCCCAUCUUGGCUCCCCUGAGAUGGUGAUGUGAGUACUUCAGGUGAUGCUUCUUGCGUGACGUGUAAUCUAAUGGACGGGAGGUUUCUUCAACAACGACAACAGAUUCAACUACGCGGUAGCUUGCAAUCGAAAAUAAAACCGAAACAUUGAAGCGUUUAAGACCAGCCUUGUGUAUAUUACUCUUUGUGUUUUGAACAUAAUUUUGUUUACCUAUCAUCUAGUUAAUUUAAACGUAAUUUGUUUGUUAAAUUAGCAUAUGUGUUACAUUGAUACUGCACUAGGCCAAUCGCCUGGAACAUGAGCUCACUAAACUCGACGGAGAAAUAAACUCUGGUGAAAGGAGAGGAAGAAGCUUUCAGAAUGAAAAAGGAGGAAGAGGAGGCUAUCACAUUAAAAGAAGAAGAGGAUGAUAUUACAGUGAAAGAGAAAGAUGGGAAAGAGGUUGUCAGAGUGGAAAAGGAGGAGGUAGAAGCUUUCAGAAUCAAAAAGGAGGAAGAUGCGGUAACAUUGAAAGAAGAGGAAGAACCUUUUGGAGUAAAAGAGGAAGAGGAGGUUAUCUCAAUAAAAGAGGAGGAAGACGUUUUGGAAGUGAAAAAGGAGGAGGAGGCUGAAGAUCGGAUUACCACCAGAGAGAGACAUGACUAUUGUGGAUCUUCUGGGGAGCAUCAACAACAUCCUGAUGCUGACUAGACAGAGAAGUGUCUCUCCAGAUCAGAACACCAGAUUGUACAGCUUGGUCCGGUCUAGCAUACAGCUUGCUCUAUCGGGGGCUGGGCUGCGUUUCUGUAAAGCACUUUAUGUCAACUGUGACAUCUGCAUCCAUAAUGAUUUGUGUCUUUGUCCCCUCUUUAUCGUUACCAGGACAACGCUAGCCCUUCUGCCCUCCCAGAGUCCUCGUGUCGUGCCUCUCGCGGUAGCACCUUAAUGCUGGGUAUGAAGAGGUUGUCUGUGCUGCUGGUGGACUGCAGGAAAACAACGGGGCUGAGUGGAACUGUGAGAGGAGGAGAAGAGAAGAAAGGAUCAGAUUUAACUCAUCAAACGAUGCUCCCCAUCCAACCUGUUCAUCAUGCUUCCAUUGAUUAUCCUGUGUAGCGAUGCUCCCCAUCCAACCUGUUCAUCAUGCUUCCAUUGAUUAUCCUGUGUAGCGAUGCUCCCCAUCCAACCUGUUCAUCAUGCUUCCAUUGAUUAUCCUGUGUGGCGACGCUCCCCAUCCAACCUGUUCAUCAUGCUUCCAUUGCUUAUCCUGUGUAGCGACGCUCCCCAUCCAACCUGUUCAUCAUGCUUCCAUUGAUUAUCCUGUGUAGCGACGCUCCCCAUCCAACCUGACAGCUUGAGGGGAUCUGCAGAGAAGAAUGGGAGAAACUCCGCAAAUACCCAAGACGACUAGGCUGUAAUCGCUGCUAAAGGUGAUUCAGCAAAGUACUGAGUAAAGGGUCUGAAUACUUAUGUAAAUGUGAUAUUUCAGUUUGUUAUUUUUAGUAAAUUAGCAAAAAUGUCUUAUGUUUUUGCUUUGUCAUUAUGGGGUCCUGUGUGUAGACUGAUGAGGGGGAAAAAAUGAUUUAAUCAAUUUUAGAAUAAGGCUGU